ACAUUCAAAUAAAGGACAGCCUCCUUUCAACACGUUACUUUUUCUCUCACAUUGAAUAAAAUCUGUAAAUCACAUAACCUACUUUUUCACAUCGAAGCCAAACAAAAUCCGGCUGCUCCGCUCAGUUGUUCUUGGGAAAGCAUUUCAAAACAGAUUUUGUUAUUUAGAUUCCAAAACGUAUACCAGCUUAGCUGCUGCUUUGUAUCUAUACGAAUUUUGCAAAAAUCAAACAAAGCAAAAAAGCCCUAGCUUCCUCUGAUUGCACAGUGGACGCUGAGCUUUCAGCCUUGUGAGUUUGAUAUAUCGAUGCCGAGCCUCCGCCCUCCACCACUACUUGCCGCGGCUGCAUAUGCAAAUGGUUGUUAUGGAACAAAUUAUGCACAUCAGCAAGUACCUACAUCAGUGCCCCAAAGUGCUGCUUAUGGGACUUAUCCUCAAACUUAUUCAGCCCAGAAGGAGGGCGUGAAAUGGCUCCUUCAACCAACAAUCUUAGGAAACUUCUUGAAAAUCGAUUCAACGACGAAAGCUUUGAAUGUUCUAUGUUCAAGGACAACUCAUUCCAAAAGUAAGCUCUCUCUCCUCUGCCCCCCCUCUCUCCUUCCUUUUGCCUUUUGUCUUGUUUUUGUUUAUACCUUUGCAUGCUAACGAUUGUGACCAUAUGGUGAUCAUGUCAAUGUUGCCGGUGAUGAUUUGAUGCUAUUAUCUUGUAAUGCUCAAUGAUGUUACAUUGUGGUUCUUCAGUCAACUGUCAAUAUACGAGCAAUAGCAAUGCCUAAGCAUUCACUCGCUCAAUUCCUUCUUUUUCGAGACUGUUUGGACUACAUGUUCGAUCCCUAUUACGACAUUUACUUGAUCCCUCCAUAUUCAUUUUUGGCAACUUGAAACUUCUUAUAAGGUAUUGGAUUUGUCAGGCAUGGACUGCAGAUUUUAUAAUUCAACACAAGUAGAGAAUUUGGUUCUCUUAAAGUUCUUGGUAGUCUCUUCUAUACCAUAAUCAAUAGAGAGAUUUGAGAACCUAGAAUUUCUUUUUGUGGAUAAUAGUGAAAAAUUUGAAAUACAAGAGAACCUUUUCAAUAUGGUGAAGUUAAGACGCGUAUUUUAGUGGUGGUGCACAAUUCAGUAAAUUCUAGCGUGGGCGAGCAGCUAAGGGUGAGAUAUUCCUAGAAAGUAGCCUACAAAGAAUUUCUUUUGUUUCCAUUUAUGAUAAAAAUGAUGAUAAAAUCUUGAGAUACUCAUCUAAUCUCCGAAGACUGAAAUGCAGAUUUGCAGUAUUUUUUGAUCCAUCAGAAAAUAACUAUCGCUAUACUAUCUUGAAUUUCCUUAGUCAACUAGAAUCACUCAUCAUAUAUUUCCGUUGGAGUUAUGUUAUAGAUGAUACCAGUCUCGAUUUGACCAAUUUACCCUUGAAUUUGAAAAUGUUGACUCUCAGUGACUUUAAUUUUAUUUUGAAACAAAUGGAGAUAAUUGAAAAAUUACCUGAGCUUUAGGUUCUCAAGUUACGGGACAGUACCAUUGAGAAAAAAAGAUGGGACACAAAUGAAGGUAAAUUAAAAAAACUUAAAUUUUUUGAUCUAGAUGAAGUACAAAUUGAACAAUGGAAUGCCUCGAACGAUCAUUUUCCUAAAUUUGAAAGGUUAAUGUUGCAAAGCUGCCAGUUUUUGGAGAUCCCUUCUGAUUUAGAGUAUCAUUUGUAUCUACAAAUUUAUUGUUUGAAUUAGAGUAUUGUCUUUACACUCUGGAUUACAAGAGUACCCUAUAAACCAGAAAGAAAACUCGUUUGGAGUGUUAGAUAAUGACUACAACAUCCUUUUUCUAAUCAUUUUGCAUUUCUUUAAUCUUCCAAGCAGAGUCUUCAAUAGAUUUUUUGCAACCAUGUAUCUCAAUCUUUUGUAGAGACAGACAAUACUCUAAAUCUGAAGCGAUCUUCAAAAGCUGGUAGCUUCGCAACACUAACCUUUCAAGUUUAGGAAAAUGAUUGUUCGAGGCAUUCCACUGUUCAAUUUGUACUUCAUCCAGUUCCAAGAAUUUAAGUGUUUUUUUUUUUUCUUUUUUUUCACCUUCAUUUGUGUCCCAUCUUUUUUUUGCAAUGGUAUUAUCCCGUAACUAGUGAACCUCGAGCUUAAAUAGUUUUCCAAUUAUCUCCAUUUGCUUCAAGUAAAAUUAAAGUCACCGAGAGUCAACAAUCUCAAAUUCAAGGGUAAAUUGGUCAAAUUGAGACUGAGGUCAUCUAUAGCACAACUCGACGAAAAGAUAUGUUGAGGGAUUCCAGCUGACCAAGGAAAUUUAAGAUAGGAUAGCAAUAGUUGUUUUCUGAUGGAUAAGAAAAUACUGCAAACCAGCAUUUCAAUCUUCGGAGAUUUGA